rnacentral:rRNA from 1 species
AUUGAACGCUGGCGGAAUGCUUUACACAUGCAAGUCGAACGGCAGCACGGACUUCGGUCUGGUGGCGUGUGGCGAACGGGUGAGUAAUGUAUCGGAACGUGCCCAGUCGUGGGGGAUAACGUAGUGAAAAUUACGCUAAUACUGCAUACGAUCUAUGGAUGAAAGCGGGGGAUCGCAAGACCUCGCGCGAUUGGAGCGGCCGAUAUCAGAUUAGGUAGUUGGUGGGGUAAAGGCCCACCAAGCCAACGAUCUGUAGCUGGUCUGAGAGGACGACCAGCCACACUGGAACUGAGAGACGGUCCAGACUCCUACGGGAGGCAGCAGUGGGGAAUUUUGGACAAUGGGCGAAAGCCUGAUCCAGCCAUUCCGCGUGCAGGAUGAAGGCCCUCGGGUUGUAAACUGCUUUUGUACAGAACGAAAAGGUUUCUACUAAUACUAGGAGCUCAUGACGGUACUGUAAGAAUAAGCACCGGCUAACUACGUGCCAGCCGCCGCGGUAA